UCGCACUGAUGCCUACGGCUGCUGCUGCUGUUGCAUGGCCUGCAUAGCUUCAGUGAGGCCUCUGACCUGCUGCACCAGUAGGUUGAAUUGCUCCGUACCAACCAUCGUUGUCGGAGGAGGAGGAGGCUGAGAGACUGGAGGUGAGGUCAGAGCUUGAGAUCUGGCCGCGGAGGCCGUGGAUCGUCACGUGGAUGCUCUGCAGGGAGGCAUGGGGCUAGGACCUAGUG
rnacentral:lncRNA from 1 species